GGCCCAGGCGCUUUGUCUGCCCUUUUGUGUUUUUGUUUUUGUGCCCUCGACAAGUGGAAAUUAAACACGCACCCAGUACACCCUUACUCCCCUACACCAACACCCACCCACACCCACACCAUCCCACGUCCAUUUCCGUUUUGGCUGAUCAUUGGCAUAAGCAAGCACACACGUACACAUGCACAGCUAGCCGUUCGCCAUUUUGACUGUCUGUCUGUUCCUUGCUUGUGGUUUUCCCCGAUUUUCGUCUGCCUCCUUUAUUUCUUCUUUAUUCUUUAUUUUAUGCCGCUCUUUUGUCCGAAGCGUAGGCAAGUGAAGAUAAACGUGUGUCCUGUAUGAAGCUUAAAGGUGCUGAAGGUGGACCAGGCGACGGAGGAGCAACAGCCUCGGCAUUCGAAGGAGUCACAUCCUACGGCCACAUCCACAUCCUCUGACUGAGGAAUGAAGGUGUCUCAUGCGAGGUGAGCUGGAAAUGGCCCCAUUUGGCUGGGCGCUGGGAAAUGGGGGGGAAACCACUUAAACCGCUCGACUAACUGGCGACAGUCGCACGGCUCUGCCCGCUAAUUAACAACAACAUAAUGCUUAUCCACAGGGGCGGGGUGGGAAACAACAACUUGACAUUUAUAUUAAAAUUAAUUAAUUUAUUUGUUUCAUAUUAUAUAAAUUACAUUUAGAGCUUGGCA